GAUAACCAUUUCAUUUUACCAAGUUCAAUGUUAGUCAUAUUAGUCAAUAUUUAUAUGUUUCGAUGCAACAACAAGAUGUUAUUUGUAACAAGUAGUUUUGUUGGUUGGUUAAUUGGUCUCAUUUUAUUCAUGAAAUGGAUUGGGUUGGUAUUAUGUUGGAUACAGCAAAAUAAUUUUAUUAGAUCUAAUAAGUACCUUGUGUCAUAAUUGAGAAAUUCUAUGGCUCGAAUAUUUAGUAUUAUCUUAUUUAUUACCUGGGUCUACUAUUUAGGUAGAAUACCGUCGAUGUACGAUAUUUAUAUCAGUUAAUGAAAGAGCCCAAUGCAAAAAAAUGCACAUUGGGUCUUUGAAACAGUUCAAAUCAUUUUGAUAAUAAGAAGUUUGAUAUGUUUUUACUGAGAAGGCCUACGGUUCGAGUCCAUAUGGCCCUAAAACCUAAAAGUUAAAAAAAAUGAAAAGAAAAAGAAAAGAUGCUAUAUCAUAUAUAGUAAAACUUAGUUUCUGAUGGCACUGUUCAUCAGCAGUGCCCGGGCUAAAAUGCAUUCGGUUUUUUGUUUGGUUUGCCGUUUUGCUGCCUGCUUUGCACAGUUAAAUACCAAUUUUGACCAUUCGAUCCACGCGUCGAUCAUCGCUGUGCAUCGGAUGCUUCUCGACUUUUCUUCUCACCUUUUCCUUUCGUUUCCACUUUUUCUUUCUCACAAUUCUCUGCUGUCCCUCUCGAACUCUCCUUAUAAUGACCCGUCCCCAAUUACUAUGAAUUUUAUAAUUUUAAAAUGUGCAAUUUCGAAAAUACUCUUCGAGGCAAAUGCGUUGACUUUUGUUGACCACUUUGUCGUGGCACGUAAGAUCUGUUUUCUUGGCGUAUCUUCAUAGUACUCGUCGUUAUGGAUACGUGGGCGCAAACAGAAUGUAAUUUAGAGUUAUAAUGAAGGAGUAAUUAACGAAUGAAGCCAAGGAUAAAAUGGUCAAUUGAUCAUUUUCUAGAAUGCUCCAAAAUUGUUGGAGAAAAUCUGGGAAGCCACGUGGUGGCUGUGAUUGGAAAUAUAAGGAGAGGAAAGAGGGGGCUGCUGCCUAAUCAGAGGAGAAUGGUGGGAGAGAAGGAGAGCAACCAGAGAAGGGGAGAGACCAAUCGGGAAAAGUGAAGGAAAAUGAGUGACCAAUCAGAAAAGAGGAAAUGAGGGAAAAGAAAGAAGAGAGAAGACCACCCAACCCAAACCCUCACUUGACUCGGUUUCUGGCCAUUUUUCCGUCGUUUUUUUCGUUGGAUUUCCGGCGUGUUCAAGCCAUCCAACAUCACCACCAGAGUCACCGAUCUUCCCUUUUCAAUUCCCAUCCAAACUCGACAGCAUAUAGCCCCAGUUUCAUGAGGAACCGAGUGGGUGGCGCCGAGGGUCUCAUGGCGGCAAUUCGCCAUUCCUGAAGUCAACUCUGUCGACUACCACCAUCGGUUUACUCCUCCUAAACCCAAGAACAAGUCCCAAGCCUUGGUUGGUGCGGCAGAGCACUGGAGGUGAUGAAUCUAAACACACCCUUUAUAGGGUUUCAGAAGGUUCGUGGUAAUUUCAGGCCACUUCCCGGCUGAAUUAGAUUUUGGCCUAGGUAUGAAAGUUGUUUCCCUCAUUGAGAUCUUCAUUCUUGUAAAAUUUGAGGAUUUUUUGAAAUAGUUGAAUUUUUCGGUGGGUCGGGGCGACAAGCUGCCAAGUGGGCAGAGACACCACUUGACCUCCCUAGGCUAAAAUGGGUGCCCCGAUUCCAUAUUAGACAUCCGAUUGACAAAAUUCCAUUGUUUGGUUAUAUUUUUGUUAAGGGCCGCCACUUGCUUAUUAUAUUAUUCGAUGAUCCAAACAUUGGAUCGUCACCAAACUUUAAUACAUAAUAGUACGUAAUAUUUAAGGAUAUUAGGAACUGACGAAUAGGGAAUCUAACGUACGGAUUUGCCCGAAUUGGUUUUCUAAGUUUAUAAAUCUAAACAUCGGCCGCCACUUAAUUUUAGUGAUUGGUGGAGAUCCAACCGUUGGAUUGUUCAAAAACUUUAGGAUGUUGUUCUAGAAGCUUAUUAAAACUUUGGAAAGUUACGGAUCGGAAAUUUGAGGUGUGGAUCUUCUGGAUUGAGUUACGUAUGGUUGUGGACCCUACCGUUGACCUUUGACCGAUGGUUGACUUUUGGUCAAUGGGUUACAAAUCAUUCUAGAACGUCCUUGGGGAUGUGUUUUAUGUAAGUUACAUGUUAUAUAAAAAAGAAUUCUAAGAAGUGAUUUGAUAUUUGUUCUAAGCUACGAUCAUUCGUGACAUCUCGAUAUUCGUACUAGGGAGUUGUAGUGUGGAUUUUAGGUGAGUGAGUCUUUUCUUUUAUAUAGUUUAUACAUAUUUGUUAGUAUCCAUUUAUACAUUGAAAGAGAAUUUACUACGUAUGCCUAGCUUAGACUAAUGCUUAUAAGAAUUAGUGAAAUAGCGGAAAAUUACGAAGUGAUCAUAAAUCGUACGGGAUGCAUAGGUAUGUGUAUGUUUAUUGAUGCCAGGAUUAUACCUACGACUAUGAAUGACAUUAUGUUGAUUAGAACUAUCGAACCAUUAUGGCAUGACUAUAUUUAUGUUUUAUGCUCAUCGUUUGUUGCACCGGUGUUAGUGCUCGCCUAGAGCCAGAGCCAGUCUUUCACGUGUACGUUCACAUCCACACUACAUGCUCACUUUGGAUCUAAAUAGGUGCCGAUCCUGUCGUACAGGUUGCAAUAGGCAACUUUGACUCGUAUAUGACUGCAAAUAACGCCAGUUUUCAUGUGAUUGUAGCACUAGAGUGUAUAUCAUUAUUACACCAGUCCUGUUCAUGUCUGAAUAACUCUGCAUGAAUUCGUGUGUCAGCAUGUGUCGAUGAGCACUUGGUUUGAUAUGUUUGCUUAUGCGAAAGUAUAUGAUUAAUGAUGUCAUGAACUUAUAUAUGAACUAUUGUGCCGUAUUGAUAUCUUGAUAUUUUUUCAGGCUAUGGUGAGUAUUUUCAUACUAUAUGUAGUAUGUAUAUAUUGGAAACUAUACAUGUUUUACGGCGAGAGGUUAUAACGUUUACAAAGGUUUUUAUUAAAAUUUUAUUUUCAGGCCCACUCACCCUUGUUUUUCGCCCCUCCAAGUUUUAGGAGCUAAGCUUUCUUAUCGACGGUGAUUCUUGGCAAAUCUUGGUAUAGACAAUUACCUUCGAUGGUAUAAUUCUCACCCUAUCUUAUUGUACUGUACUUAUGUUCUGACAUCACGUGUGAAAUGGGUUCAUUCUCGCUCACAUCGCACUCUUAUAUUUAGGCACUUUUAGGUUUAAAUUUAUUCACAUAUUCCACCACACUACACUUUAUGGCUUUGUCACCUUCUAGGUGUCGGCCAACACAGCUCGAUUUGGGUCAGGGUGUGUCAGUUUGGUAUCAGAGCAUAAGUUUGGGUGGUAUUGCAUACAUCACAUGCGUGAUGUAAGCAUUCUCGAUUCUUGAGGCUAAAUGUUGAAUUUUGCCACCUCGUCAACUAUGAAAAACGUGUUAGGUUUUCCUAAGUUUUGGGCGGAUUAGGUGACUUAUUGACAUUCAAGAAAGUCACUUUGGCGACCACUUUUAAACGUUAAGUGAAGAAUUUCCCUGCCAAGGAAAGAUGUAGAUUUGAGACAAGUUGAUGCCCCUGAGGCAAUGCUACCAUAUCGAUAACUGUGCAUUACGGGAGAUUUACCUACCAAUUCCACUACCAUCUAGUCAUUUCUACCAACCUUUCAAUAAUGGAAACCAUAAAUAGUUUUGAUUCCUUGGCAGCAUCCAUUAGUAUGUCAUCUAUUAGAAUUCCUAUGUAGUUUACUUUGUCAAAAUUUCCAGAAAUGUCUUGUGUGAUAAUGUGGUGCUAAAAUGGUAACACUCGACGGAAGAACAUCUUGGGACAAUCACUUUUGGUCCCCGAUAAUACUAAUCUUUUCAAACCCAUUAGUGAUCAUUCCGGAUCUUCAGGAGGAAGAUCGACUUCCGUUUAAGUUUGUUCUAAAAUAGAUUAAUAACAACUUCCUUUUUGGCUUUAGGGCGUUCCGACCAAUACUAGUUUUCCGAAUUUCUUUUGGUGAUGUACUUAUCAUUUUGACGAGCAUAGGCACAGGUGUACGAGUUGUUAUACCUACGGUUAGUAGAAAACCUCGAAGUAGUAAGUAUUUUCCCUAGAAUUAAUGAAACCAACUCACAGGACCGGUUCCUUACUAAUCAUCUGAAACCAACUACCCGAGUGAGCUCUAACAUGUAAUCAACCUAUGGUGGCGCUACUAAUUGAUGAUACUGUUUGAUAUCUAGGAACUGUCAACUAGUAUUCAGGUGGUAUGAUUUCUGAUACCAGACACAUGUACUAGUAUCUGGGAGUGAUACAUUUAUACCAUAAUGUCAGUUCACAGUUUCAGGGUAGUGAACAAUAUCAAAAUAUCGUAUAUGCAUUAAUUAGCGGUGCGAUUGAUAGACUGAUUAACAGUGACCACCUGAGCCGAAGAAACUAAAUCAUGGAAACUUAGGAGCAAGUUUUGUAGAAGGACCGUAAACUCGCAGUUGUUGAAACCAUGUUUUCCACUUAGGUAAUCAAAACCUCUUUAACUAGUCACCUUUUCGAUCACUUCCACAGGUAGACAGUAAAAUCGAAUUAUGAGUCGAUUUCUCACUGUUAGAGUGAUUUGAGUAUUGAGAAAGAUAUGAAGACCUAUUCGCACGUGGCGUAGUGAAAUGAAGUAGUAUGGUAUGUCCGAUGACGUACACUUCUGGCGUCAAAUUGGAUAUCACCAAAUGGUAGAGCUAGCUCAUUGAGAGAACUUAGUUACAAAAGCUUACUGAUUAGAAAUUUACCCAACCAAACACCUUAUCUAGGGAACCUCGAACCUAUUCGCGAAGGCGAAAGACCGAACAUUAGGUUUGUACUUAGAUUUUAGCAACCCAAUCGGGUGAUGAUUAAAACCGUUAAUACCCAUACUUCGAAUUACUAGUCUACCCAACUAACCUUUGUAACUCGAGUUUUCCUCCAUGGCUUGACGAAUUCGUAGUGGCCUUAUCGGUAACCUUUUCAUCUACCUCGACAGUGAGACUAAAUUCUCUAAAUAUCAAUAGUUAGCUUUGUACCAAAGUCCUCAACUGUUAACUUUGAUUAAAUUGGUACUUUUCUUGGGAGACGUGAUCUAUUUAAAUGAUAAUAUUUUCUUUUUCCAAAAAGGGUUUAGUGGAAGAAAGUUGAAAUUCUCACAAAAUGUAGUGAAAUUGAGAUAUCUUUGGUCCUGUCGAUUUUAUCGACAAUUUGUUAGCGAUCAUUCGGCUAUAGUGUUUUUCCUCAUUUAAAACCGAGGAAAGUUAGUUUAGUUGUGAUGUUGAUUAUGAAUAAAGUUUCUGACAACUGAAUUGUUCUCUCAUCUUACCUUCGUUUUACACCUUUUGAUGAUAAUGAUCAUUUUGGAAAUCCAUGAUGACGUGUUCUUUGGAUGUUUCGGCUGUAUAGAGGCAGCAUGACAAAGUAUCGCUUAUAUUUCCCAACGUGUAGAACUUUUCGGAAUGGACCAUCUUAUUCAUGACUUAGAGUUAACAGUUGCCAUCUUUACUUGAAAACCGGAUGACAUUUCUCAGUAGAGAAAUGUGUCCAAAAUCUCUAUCAAUCUUAGACCUCGCAAGUACAUAUCAAUUUGAAAGGAAUUAGAUUUCUAACAAUGGCGAUAAAGGAACCAAAUCAACAUCUACAAUUACACAAUCGCGUAUCAUCCUCGUUGUGUAAACGUAAUUACUGUUUACUGCAACAAAAGACAUUAUCUACUCCCGAAAUGCUUUCGGCCUAUCCUAUUUCAUUUUAGUUGGAACUCAUGAGCAUUGGGUUGACGUUACUUACAAAUGAUCAAGAAAUUGUUCGAGUGGUUAUACUCACUUUCUGGAUCCAAAUGAAGAUGAGAAAUAUCACCAUAAGCUCCUGGUACGAGGUAUCUUGUACAUGUGGAUAUUACGAUGAUGUUUCGGUGAUUAUUGACCGACUUGACAAGUUAUCUUACUUUCCGUUGGUCUAGAGGGACGACAGUUUAGAUCACUUGAGAAAAUUACUCAUUCUUGAAAUUAUCAAAUUUUUCUGGUGUUUAGAUUAACAUCUACUUUGACUGUGAUUUCAUAUUCACCUUUUGAGCCGGAAGGCAUUCCAGUCACCCUUGGGUACAUGUCUACCCUUUUGCACUUCAUACUAAUUUUGAAGCAAAUAGACUGUUUAGGUGAAUCGCCCGAACAUUUAGAUUUUAGUUGUGAUUGUUAAUUCCUCAAUCACCCAACAAAUACUUUGAUAAGCGAAUCCUUACUGUUGGUGAUUGAACGUUCUAGAAGCUACCGUUGUAGCGAGAUGUCAUGCAUUAAUUUCAAUUACCUUGUAUUCUAAAUUUGAUGGACUUGUUUGACCCUCAAAUUCUUGAUUGUUCUUCUUGGCAUAGUUUUGCAAAACUCGAGGGAAAUUCAAUAUGAACCUACUCACUAUAGCGUUAUGAACUGCAUUGUUUGGUUAUAUGGUGUGUGUGUCACUACUAUAUCUCACCGUGACACGUGUUUCAUUUCCAAGUCUUGGGAAGCCUUCUUGAAGGUCAUGUGUAUUAAGCAUUGUCACGUACCACAUUUCACCCUCAGACUAACGAUUAGUCUGAAACGAGCGACUCAAACCUUAGUGGACAUGUUGCAUUUUGUCCGUUCUACAAUUAGCAUGGUUGUGACACGUAGUUAUCUUUAUUUUAGUUUCAUGUAACUACGAUUACAAUUUUUGGUUUUAGGUAUGGCACUGUUAAGAUGUAGUAUGGAAAUUUUAUGCAUAGCCUAUGCUUGACAGAAGAGUAUUGUGAACAGGUAGUUGAAUGAUCGAGAUUACAAUGUAGCAAAUUGUGUGCUAUUUGUGUUGUCGCUCGAGAGGGUAGUACGUGAGCUCGAUAGAGGCGCUAAUUGGAUGAUUUAUGUGUAUUUCCCAAUGAGGGGCAUGAUGGUAAUAUUUCACCCUCAGGAAUUUGUUACUUACUUAUCGAGACAACUGUGAGUUGUCGGUAUUGCGGGUUGCAAGCUGUAAUAAUGAUUACUUAUUCGUUGGACUCGUUAAGCAAAUGGACAAUUAGGCUGUUUAUGUUAGUUUAUUUAUUUAUUGUUUGGGCUCGACCCAAAGUUACUACAUGCUUAUUUUCUGAGUACGUGACUCUACAGGUGCAUAAAUGAAAAUUUUCUAUGUUCAGUUUUGACUUCGGCACAACUAUUUUAAAUUGUACAUUAUAUUAUAUACAUAUUUUGACUAUAUGAUACUAUAUAUCUAUUUUGACUUGAUGUUUUCAUAAAGGAUUUUAUAUUGUAGUAUUGUAUUGAAGGAGAAAGACAUUUUGAAUUUGGAGGCAUGAAAGAGGAAUCAUUGCAAUCCGAUCCUGACCGAAUGACAUUCUCUUUUAUGCAAUCGUUCUAACUUGAUAUCUUAUUUACAUAUUUAUUUUUCUAUUGCCUUUUCACUAUUUUUGUAAACAAAUGAUUUUAAAUUUUGUAGAUUGUAACGACCCGUCCCCAAUUACUAUGAAUUUUAUAAUUUUAAAAUGUGAAAUUUUGAAAAUAACCUUCGAGGCAAAUGCGUUGACUUUUGUUGACCGCUUUGUCGUGACACGUAAGAUCUGUUUUCUUGGCGUAUCUUCGUAGUACUCGUCGUUACGGAUGAGUGGGCGCAAACAGAACGUAAUUUGGAGUUAUUAACGAAUGAAGUCAAGGAAAAAUGGUCAAUUUAUCAUAUUUUCUGGAAGGCUCCAAAAUUGUUGGAGAAAAUCUGGGAAGCCACG
rnacentral:lncRNA from 1 species